rnacentral:rRNA from 1 species
GACGAACGCUGGCGGCGUGCUUAACACAUGCAAGUCGAACGAUGAAGCUGGAGCUUGCUCCGGUGGAUUAGUGGCGAACGGGUGAGUAACACGUGAGAAAUCUGCCCUUGACUCUGGGAUAACUGCGGGAAACUGUAGCUAAUACCGGAUAUUUUCCUUGGUGGGCAUCCACUGGGGAAGAAAGAAUUUCGGUCAAGGAUGAUCUCGCGGCCUAUCAGCUAGUUGGUGAGGUAAUGGCUCACCAAGGCGACGACGGGUAGCCGGCCGGAGAGGGUGACCGGCCACACGGGGACUGAGACACGGCCCAGACUCCUACGGGAGGCAGCAGUGGGGAAUAUUGCACAAUGGGCGCAAGCCUGAUGCAGCAACGCCGCGUGAGGGAUGAAGGCCUUCGGGUUGUAAACCUCUUUUAGCAGGGAAGAAGCGAAAGUGACGGUACCUGCAGAAAAAGCACGGGCUAACUACGUGCCAGCCGCCGCGGUAA